GAGGACAAAAGUUUCAAAUUUCUUAUAGAUGGCUCCCCAUGUAAAACGGAUAAGGUUUUGUAUGAAGAGAAAGCGCCAAAUAGAAGUGAGCGAAGGAGAGUACUCAAUCUGCAUCAGCCAUCUUCAAAUGACUUGCUUCGUAGCAAUACUAAAUUCAAUUCCCAGUCCUUUUUGUAAAUGUUCUCCGCGGAGUUUAUUUAACUGGGAUUUUGGUAAUAAAAAGACUGAUGAUAAGCCACAAGUUAGAUACCAUAAUCUUGAUCUUCCUUUCUCUCCUUCCCUUGUCAGCAAAACAUUCUUAAAAGGAAGGGAACUGAAGUGCUGCUAUAAGGCAUCAGUGGAUGGAUUUAGUGCAACUGAAUUUCACAACAACAGUGAUUUUAAAGGACCAUGUGUGAUUAUUGGCUAUACAACAAAGGACUUUAAGUUUGGAGCAUUUAAUCCAGAAGGCUACAGAAGUACAGAUGAUUAUUAUGACACUUUUGAUGCAUUUCUCUUUUACUGGGCUGAAGAUGAACAACAACCAAUAAUCUUGCCUAAAGUAGGGGGAAGUGGUGCUGCUCUUUUUGAUUAUGCUAGAGGUGGGCCACAGUUUGGUGCUGAUGGAUUGCUAAUUGGACCCCCAUUAGCUCCUGUCAUGGGCGGAUUUGCAGGACCUGAUACUAAUUCUGGGAUUGGUGAUUUAAGGCAAGCUAAGUCAAGAUUGGGACUUUCUUAUGCUAAAAGGCCAGAUGGUAAAGAGUCAUUGUUUGGAGAUGAAUCUAAGGCUGAACUUGAUGAAGUUCUUGUAUUUUGUAGUCCUCAAAUUGCUAGCUUAUAUUGACUCAAUUUUUGCAAAAACGGAUGCCAUAGCCUUUGGGGAAAUCACUCUCAGUGAUCAUGAGCAUUUCUCAAUAAGCCAAAGUGGAGCAUUACUUUAAAGCACAGGCCAAGAGGAGUACAUGAAAGGAAAAGCAUAGAUAAGUCCAUAGGUUUUAUUGUAGGAUUAUUUGCUAAGUGAUUAAGGGGCCACACAUUUCUUCGAUUCCUCUCUAGUUAGCUACCUAUGGUCUUAUGGCUGAACUAAUAGUGGGUAGGAAAGAGGAAUGGUUGAUCAUUUAGUGUACUUGUCUUUCUUUCUCUUUUUGAGUUAAUGGUUGAUACCGUCCAGCAUCA